rnacentral:lncRNA from 1 species
CUAAUGAAUUAAAUUAUUAAUGUAGAAUUUACCCAAAUAUAUAAUUUAGACCAUUUAUUUAUUUAUGGUUGAAAGUAUGAAAGAAAAUAAAAAAAAAUAAUUAAAAAAAUCGUGUCAAUGAUUCAUUGUCUGAAAUUGGAAUGCCCAUCAGGCUCUUCAGUGGAGAGAACAAGCCCACCUCAUCGGCUACCGGGUUCCACUUAUUCAAGAAUUGGACAUUUCUAGCCCAUAGAGCGAGUCCACAUGUUUAAUGCUUGUGGGGCCCAUCGUGGCCCACAAACUGUGGGCAAGAAACCUACAUUUCUAAAAUAUCUCCUUAUUGGUCAAUUAAAAGAUAAUCUAGUAACUUGUAGAUGUGAAUGUGAGAGCUGACUCAAAAUUUUGUAAACCACUGAAAAUUUCAUGGCCGUGCUUGAAAAUGCAGAUCACAGAGUUCCUAUUUUUGUUUGCUUAUGGAAAUAUUGUACGUGAAAUUUGUUUUGGAUUUUCUUUGAAUUUUGUGGCUAAUGUAAAAGAAAACACAUUUUCUUAUAAUAAUCUUAUUAUUGUCUAUUAUCUCAUGGCGGUGGGGCUUGUGGAAAAUUUUUAUUAACUUUGGAUAAAACUUAUAAGUUAUUAUAAUUGUCUAUUUUCAAUUUUCCAACUUUCAAUACCGGCAAAAAUUAAGAAAAAGAACUUGAAAAUGAUUCUUGCCUUCAGGGUUUUGAUUUUGAGCGGUGAAAAUUGGGUAUAAAAAUAUUAUUAUAGAAUACUUUGAUGCUCAAGUUAAGAAAUACUCUUAAUUUGUAGAGUCUUGAUUGUAACUUUUCAUUGAACUCAAGAAAGUAUUCUUCAGUCAAUUUUGUCUGUCAGUAUCAGAGUUCAAAAUCUAUUUUUAGGACACAUGACAUGCUAGAGGAUUUUAAUGUCAAACCUCUAGACAGAUUAAUGUUAUUAGACAAACAUAAUUAUUUCAAAAUCCUUCUGUAUAAUAGCUUCGAUAGAACUCAUGGACAUGCAUGAACCAUUACGUACACUCGUCAUUGGUUUUAAAAAUUCUAUGUUAUAUGUCAUUGAUUUUAAAGAUUUUAUACUAAAUGAAUUAGUCUCUAAUGCGAAAUCAGCAAAGCUUUGAAAUGUGGAUUCAAUGUUUCAUGAUCACAUAAAUAAGUUAUGUGGCAGCAUAAAGCCGUUUUAAUUAAAAAUUUUAUUUGAAAAUUUUUGCUAACUUUUUUUCUUUUAUGUUUAUCUUUAAUUAUUUCUAUUAGUCGAGAGAGUUUGAUUGUUUUUCAAAAGUAUUCAUAAGUUUAAAUUUAAGAAAGGCAAAAGGGCAAAAAAUAUUUUAGACUCCACCUAUCCUUAUUUUUGGGGAAAAAAAAGACUUAUCGUUACAUUAAUAUGGAAUAUCUUUUGGUUUUGUGAAAUUAUCUCCCAAUUAUCUAAAAAGAUUGAAAGUGUAAGUAGCUAUCAUAAAUUUUUGUAUAAUACUGUAUUUUAGAAUCACUUUAAGUUUUAAUUUAUAUCAACUAACUACUUUUUCGUUAACUUCAUUAACCACCAUUAAAGAACUCAUUUAUAAAGGUAAGACAAUGUUUUUGAGAGACAAACCAUUUCCACGCUAGCCAAAAAGGCACCGGCGCGGAACGGCAGAAACGCCCGAAGCCCGACCAUAUUUCCAUUAUUCCAUAUUCCAUGAUGGGCCUGGAGCUACAAUUUUUCAGGUAACUUUGGAGUCCCUAGUCUUUUCUGAUUUCACAAGUAAUAGCAUGAUUAUCCAUUUGUUUCAAAUAGCCGCGUAACCGCACGGGAAAUUUAAUCGAGCAAGAGCACCCGUUCCUGACAUUGCAUGCAGCGUAGGGUAUCUGUAUAAUUCUUAACUUCCAUACACGCGGAGGUAUUUUCUUUACGGAUUCUUAACUUGACCAUGCACCUGCCUCGGAUUAUACCCUUCUCAUUAUAUAAGAUUUGCAUUCCCUUCAAUAAAAUUGUGAUAAAGAAUUUGUAAUAUAGUAUUACAUUUCUCUGUUUCUCAAUUAUAAGUUCAAGUCUUUUUUAAAAAAAUUAAUAGACAUGUUUUGGAAUGCAAAAUCCAAUAACAAAAUAAAUUUGUCUUAGAUUAACUUAUGUACUUAAAAUUAACAAUAUUGACUUGGUCAUUAGAUACAUGGUGAUAUAUGACCAAAAUCUUUUAAUUAACCCCAUAAAUCCGACUAAAGUGAUAUUCAUCAAUUGAAUAAUAAAAUAGAAUAAUAAAAAAUUUUACCAGUUAUGAAUCUUAUUGAAUUUUGUGUGAAUUAAACACAUAAAAUUAUAUAUAAAAAAAAAGUACGUGGACUGUUUGUUUUGAACAUUUCAUGCAGUUUAGGGUAUCCAUAUAAUUAGUUCUUUGCUUCAUUCUUAGCCGACAUGACAAUACACUUGGUUUGGAUUCAAUACCAAAAUGCAAGAUUAGCCUUUUCUUCAACAAAACCUAUGAAGAGAUUUGAGAAUUUGCAUUCUGAUAUUACAAUUAUCUGUAGUUCUCAUCUUUGGUUUCUCACUUCAUCCAAGAAAGGUCAAAAAGGAAUUACCCAGCCCUGCCCGGUUACUCCAGCAAAUUGAAGUAAUUUUGGUGGAAUAUUUAGUAUCUGCUCUCUCUCUGCUCAUUGUUUUAAUUAAUUUAUUAACAACAUUAUCUGUGUAAUCUCUUUGUCAGAAUCAUUGAUCAAAAAGCCUAAGACAUGGAGGCCAUUUGGAUUAAUUCUCUUUAAAGUAGAACUAGAAAUCAGCCCAGGCACCUUAUACAUUAUACAUUAUUAUUAUUAUUAUUAUUAUUAUUAUUAUUAUUAUUAUUAUUUUCAUGUUAGUUUUUAGACUGAACGCAUGUACACUAGUACAAU